GGCACCCACUGAUGAGGAUCCCACCAUCUGGAAGUGCGCGCUUUGAUGAUCCAGCAUAAACCUCAGUUUUACUCCCCACUUCAGCAUUCAACGCAGGUUUCGCAUAAUCUUCAUCCUUCUCAUCCAACUUUUGUUUGAGAAAUUCUUGGGCCAAACUCCCAACCAUUCCCAAGAACCCUCCUCCAGACUGUCCAUUCUCACCACCUUGGAGUUUCUCCAUGAUCACCUUCAUAAACUUCUUCACCUUGGGACUUGAAUCUUCUCCAAAAAUAUCGAAGAGGGUUGGCCUCAAUUUCCCAACAUUAAUGUCAUCUUUCCCAGUUUUUUUGUUUCAGAAUGUCUAUAAGAGUGGACAGAGGUAAUGAUCUGCUUUUCACAUUGACUCGCU
rnacentral:misc_RNA from 1 species